AUUGAACGCUGGCGGCAGGCCUAACACAUGCAAGUCGAGCGAGCGGCGGACGGGUGUGUGUUGUCUCGGAAACUGCCUGAGGUGGGGGGAUAACUCCUGUAAACGGUAGCUAAUAUCGCAUACCCCCACAUGUGCCCAGAGGGGAUUAGCUCGUAGGGGGGGUAACGGCUCACCUAGGCGACGCUCCCUAGCUGGUCUGAGAGGAUGACCAGCCACACUGGAACUGAGACACGGUCCAGACUCCUACGGGAGGCAGCAGUGGGGAAUAUUGCACAAUGGGCGCAAGCCUGAUGCAGCCAUGCCGCGUGUGUGAAGAAGGCCUUCGGGUUGUAAAGCACUUUCAGCGGGGAGGCGUUACCCGCAGAAGAAGCACCGGCUAACUCCGUGCCAGCAGCCGCGGUAAUUC
rnacentral:rRNA from 1 species